UUCUUCCAAUUUCACGAAAAAAAAAAACCCUUCUUCUUUUUGUUUCUUCCCCUCAUAUUCAUACGAUUCCCCUUCUCCACCAGGCUCCUGUGCUCGGUGAUAGCUCAAGGUGCUUACUGCGGUGAAUGCUCCUCCGUGCAAUUUUGCCCACAAUGAAGGCUUCUCCAUCUUAUGCUUCUUUGCAGCGUGUAUUUCUUCACAACUGUCUCACUCAUAUCAAAACCCUCCUCCGUCCAUCGUCGUCUUGCCCUCUCUCACUCACUGCCCUCUCACUCUUUAGACCGUCGGCCAUCUCCUAUCUUCAUCAUCUGUGGCGGUCUCUCAAGUAUUUAUGGAUCUAAUCUUUACUCUCUUUGAGUAAGUCAUCCUAGAAAAAAUAGUUUUAUGGCAUUUGAGUAAAACUUUUGGGCUAUUUGCUAAAAUUGCAAAGUGGUUUCUGGACACAAAAUCCCAUGGUCGAAAUUUAAGAAGAAUCGAGUUCUUGCUCCUACCGAUUUUUUCAAUUAAACUUGAAACUCAAUUCUCAACAUUGCAUCUAAGAUAUGUUCUUCACAAAUUUUUGUACUUAUUCCUUAAUUUUUCUAGUUUUAUGGCCGCCACUAUGUAAAUGAAUAUUCUUUUGUGUUGCCCACCAAUUGUUCAAUGAAAUGCCCAUAAUUUUACUGAUGAAGUUUCUUUUUUUAACCUGUAUCUAUGUAUGAAAAUUUUUUGUUCAAAGUUUUAACGAAGUUGUUUAUUAUUCUAAUAGAGUUGCAAUAUUUGUUGGGAUUAUAUUUUUUUUGUAUUCAUGCAAAAACCUUCAUUCACCUUAAAUGUUAAGUUAUAUAUUCAACUUAGUUACAAUAUCAUUCCGAUUAAAUUCUUCUAAAGAUUUAAAUUAAUGUGUAUUUUCAUUUGUUAAUUGAGAUUAAUUGGACGGAGCAUAUAUCAGUGAAAUGAUGCUGAGAGGAAUAAUCAAAAUCUAGCUUUGUUGGCGAAGCUUCAAUUGAUUUUGCAGAUUUUGAAGUAGAAAUUGAACCCAUGAUAGUUUUCCUUCCUCUUAAGUUUGCAAACUUCGGUGCCAUAUUACAUGUUGGUUCACUAUAUUUCUAAUCCACAUGAGCUCUGAUUACCAAUUUGAAGUCUAAUAAAAAUUUCCAUGUCAAUAUUUCUAUUUUCUUAUAUAUGUGUGUGUGAAUGUUCAUGAUAUUUAAGCCUAUUGAAAGGUUAAAAUAUUUGCUGUAACUACAAAUUUUUUUAUAGUAUAUGUCAUAUAGAAGCUAAAAUUUGACAUACAAUUCUUGUAUUUUGACUUGGUUAAAUACUUCGUUUAUGGUUAUCCUUGUCUUUCUUGGGUACUUCAUAAUAUUGUUGUUGUUAAAUAUUCGAGGAUUGUUGUUUUAAUGGUUGAACUAAAUUUGUUGUAGUGUAAGUGGAAGAUUCUUCACCGUAUGAAGGUUAGUACAACAUUUACAUUUUCGAUGCGUAACCCUUUCAUAGUAUUAUUUUAUGUGUAUGUUUUGAGAUGAUCGGACUACAAAAUAUUAAAUAUGUAAGUUGAGAGUGGUUUGUGGAGAGACAUAAAUGCCCUACGAUUGUUGGCAUGAAUUAGUUAUGUGUUGUGUUUAAUUAUUGAAAGUGUGAAACGAUUUUCGUACAUGAUCUAUUAGAUAUGUUGGAGAUGUAAAAGCUAACUACGUAUGUCAUUUGAGCUGAUGCCAGGGGAAAGUUCUCUUGUGGCUUUGAUAUAACAGCCUUCGGCGGACUGCAAGGUGGGAAAUGUGGGUUAUUUAAAUUAGAAGUUGUAUACCAUACAUGGUCGCAAUAAUUAUUUAAAUAGUUGAACUUGUAAUGUGAAGACAAACUUUUUUUACUACCUUUCAGUCCUUUCACAGCGAUUGCAUUUCUUAUUUGUUUAA